AAGUCGUAACAAGGUUUCCGUAGGUGAACCUGCGGAAGGAUCAUUAUCGAGUUUUGAAACGGGUUGUAGCUGGCCUUCUUUGGCACCGUGCACGCCCUGCUCAUCCGCUCUACACCUGUGCACUUACUGUAGGUUUCAGACGCGAUGCGAGUUUAGGCUCGCGGAGCUUAUGGGGCUUACGUUUCAACCACAAACGCUUCAGUAUCAGAAUGUGUAUCGCGAUGUAACGCAUCUAAAUACAACUUUCAGCAACGGAUCUCUUGGCUCUC
rnacentral:misc_RNA from 1 species